UAAUACCUUAUUUGGUGUUGACCAUUUGUUGAUGUCCAUGUAUAGAGUCUUCUCUUGUGUUGUUGGAAGAGGUUGUUUGCUAUGACCAGUGUGUUUUCUAGGCAAAACUAUAUUAGCCUUCACCCUGUUUCAUUCUGUACUCCAAGGCCAAAUUUGCCUGUUACUCCAGGGGUUUCUUGACUUCCUACUUUUGCAUUCCAGUCCCCUAUAAUGAAAAGGA